AGAGUGGACAACGAAGAAUUAAUCUGUUAAAGAACUCUGAAGUGGCAGGCGGUCACAGUUUUCACGGCGUUUAUUAAAGAGCCCGUUUGAAGGAAGCCGUGCCAGUGUUGUCACUUUGGAGCAACAUGGAUAUUUUUACAUCCCUGCUGCCGCUGUGAUGCAGAGGCUGACCAGACCUCUCCAUAAUCAGAGUCACCUAUGAAGAAAUAUGCUCACACUACAGGCACUGAUGAUCACACCUAGGAGAAGAGAAGAAGAAAAAUGUAUGUGGCAGGGAACACGCUGGCUUCCUGGAGUAUCUUCGUCUUGGCGAUGAAGUGACGGCAGACAGAGGCUUUACCAUCGCAGAUCUGCUGUUAGAGAGAUUUAACCUUGUUCUACCAGCAUUCACUCAUAAAGGAGGGCAGUUGUCUGAUGAGGACG